GUGUUUCUGCUCACAGUCACCACUCCUCUCUCUGGUAUAUAGUCCUGAGGAGGUGAAUAAGGAGUUUCUGGGAAGGUAUUGCCUUCCCGGGUCCUUGUUUGGGCAGCUAAAAGACCUCUCACUGAUUAUCAAAUGAGUCACGCAACCCUGCUGAGUUACAGUGUAAAAAGUUACACCUGUAAGCGUUCUGCCAGAUAGAACACUCUCUCAAGUAUCCCUGAAUGCAUCUGUGUCACAGUCAGCCUGGGCUGUGAGGAAGCGAGAAGCUUUGCAUCGUGUGCAACAUUUCUGCAAGUGCGUGCAGGGCUUGUCACUGAAACCAGCCACACCCAGCUGUGACAGAACCCCGCCCUCAGCACCUGUGCCCGCUUUGGAGCCGGGCUCAUCAGGGGGAUGAGGUUCAGCUGCUCUGGGAGUGAUCCCCUCGCCAGGCUCUGCACAGAAGGAGCCCUGGCAGUACCUCAGGCUGCGUUUGGAGUGAGAGUGCAGCCAGCGUGGAGGUCUUGGAGAGAGGGCAGCAGUUGUGGCCUGAGAACCAACUAAUUUCCAGAACAAAGGAGGCUUGUCCUAGAGUACCUGCAAAGCUGCAAGCAAAGGAUGGAUAAACCUCACUGAAAUCACUGUUCUGAGACUGCAGGCACAGCAAUCGAGGACAGCCCAGAUACAAGCCAGAUCUCGUUUCCAAAGCAAAGACUGGAUUAAAAGUAAAGUACAAUAAAAAGAAGAUCUGGAAAUCUGAAAAUGUGGAAGCAGAAUAACAAUCCAACAAAGAAUGAUACCAGUCCUAUCAGAGGUACAACAACAUGCUACUGUGCUGCGUGUCACUGGAUAUUAUGAUCACAUUCCCGUGCUGGCCAAAGGGAAGAAAAGGGUGUUUGCAAGGCCCUGUAGACACAAAGAACCCAGAACAGUUCCCCAGGCAAGGGGAGUCAGGUUCUGCUGCUAUCUUAGAGGAGGAUUCCUGCUGCUUCACAGUAGUGCUGCUUCCUAAAGUGACUUAAAGGAAAAGAUUCAUCAAGGAGGGGAAGCAACCAAGCUUCCUAUGAACAAAGUGAUGAAGAACAAGAGCUGCUGUUGGGAGGAGAUAACUCCCAUGCUGUGCAUGCACACUGCAAUUAAGCUUUCCCUGUCACACCUCUAUGGUACGCAAGAAGGAAAUAAACCACCAGGAAAUAUCAACACUGACUUUCAGAGGAAGAAAUGCAGCAUGAAGCCAUGCAGUUUUGCUGGAAUUGGGUAAGCUGGACCUAGAGUUGUGUAAAGCUCAGAACUUUUACUUUUGCUUCAGUAAAUUGUGCCAGGAGGUUGGUUUGCUUUGCUCAAUUUCCCAACACUCAUUUUAAAUUUUCGUGUGUUGGAAAAUCAGAGCUAGUGCUAAACUUAGGCAAAUUUUGCCAUGUUCUCUUUUCUUUUGCAUGUUAUCAGUUCAGAGUUAAUAUGCUGUCUCUGAUAAUGUGGGGAACAGUAGUACCACAUAUGUUCAGAAUCAUCACACAAAAUGUUUCAAGAGCAAACAGAAGAAAAGACCUAGUGUUGACUUGAUA